rnacentral:tRNA from 1 species
UCCGGGAUAGCUCAGUUGGUAGAGCGUUCGGCUGUUAACCGAAUGGUCCCUGGUUCGAGUCCAGGUCCCGGAG